UACGGGGGGAGCAAACGUUGUUCGGAAUCACUGGGCGUAAAGGGCGUGUAGGCGGCUGGAUAAGUGGGAUGUUAAAUCCCCCGGCUCAACCGGGGACCUGCAUCUCAUACUGUUCAGCUCGAGCACAUCAGAGGAGACUGGAAUUCCCGGUGUAGCGGUGAAAUGCGUAGAUAUCAGGAGGAACACCUGCGGUGUAGACGGCUUACUGGACCAUCACUGACGCUGAGGCACGAAAGCGUGGGUAGCAAACAGG
rnacentral:rRNA from 1 species